CAAGUACUCCCUCCAUUCCAAAUUACUCGUCGUAGAAAUGGAUGUAUCUACAACUAAAAUACAUCUAGAUACAUCCAUACUUGCGACAAGUAAUUCGAAACGGAGGGAGUAGAGU
rnacentral:pre_miRNA from 1 species